CUCGUAUUCUCUCUCUCUCUCUCUGAGUGCCGCGUUUUUGGCCAUCAGUCUCUCUCCUGAGGGUCCUUUCUUCUGUUUUCAAUGUAUAUUAUUGUGUAUUAAGUAUACAAAUGCCUGAACACUGAAAGGUUUGUACGAGCUACACGCGCAGCAGGAAAAAGAAGCGAGAGUUUUCUCUCUCGGCCGGACGAUACCGGAGUCCAGAUCUGAAGUCAGAUCAGCCUAGCCUCUUCUGACAGUAUGGGCAACGAUUGGUGUUUGCUGACCGGUGGGAUCUGCUGUGCUGCUCUCCGACGACAGUAGAUUGGAUUAGGCUAGGAGAUCUUGGUCGAUUUCAUCUGUUGAUGAGGGGAAGUCUAGUGCGCUUUGGAUCGGCAGUAAGGUUGAAGUUGGAGUGGUAGCGGAUUCGAUGGAAAGAGACCAAUUUCUCUCAACACAAUGGUUUCACUUCCAAUUUAGUGACCCCAUCAGAGGACAACAGCAUAGCAUGGAGCACGGUAGAGAACUAGAGAUACUAGAGACCAGCUCGAGGGAGAGGGUCGAGAUUGAGCAGGUCUCAAAUCUUGAUUUUGAAGUUAUAAAAAAGGCGAUUGCAUCUGGCUUCAUUCAUCUGUGGCAAGCUCUAACCAAGCAGAAAUAUGUGGUUCUAUAAAGGAAGUUGAAGCAAUAUUGGAACAAGUACUACGAUUACUCAGGAUUUCCAUGAUUUUGUUGUAAAACAGAAAAAUUUCUGAGAGAGAGAGAGAGAGUUUGGACACAGAGCAUCAAAUUGUGUGUCUAUUCAUCUCACCAUGAGGGGAUUUAUAUAGGAGUACAUGAUGUAUACAAAUAGGC